rfam:Gossypium arboreum cultivar AKA8401 contig_20812_5, whole genome shotgun sequence.
AUGCAAAUGAUGAACUCUACUCGGAUUCCCCUUCAGGACUUCAUGGAUGAUGCUAAAUCGAGUAUCUGAUGCA